rnacentral:rRNA from 1 species
GAUGUACGCUGGCGGCGUGCUUAACACAUGCAAGUCGAACGGUGAAGCAGGAGCUUGCUCUUGUGGAUCAGUGGCGAACGGGUGAGUAACACGUGAGCAACCUGCCCCUGACUCUGGGAUAAGCGCUGGAAACGGCGUCUAAUACUGGAUAUGUGAUGUGACCGCAUGGUCUGCAUCUGGAAAGAAUUUCGGUUGGGGAUGGGCUCGCGGCCUAUCAGCUUGUUGGUGAGGUAAUGGCUCACCAAGGCGUCGACGGGUAGCCGGCCUGAGAGGGUGACCGGCCACACUGGGACGGAGACACGGCCCAGACUCCUACGGGAGGCAGCAGUGGGGAAUAUUGCACAAUGGGCGGAAGCCUGAUGCAGCAACGCCGCGUGAGGGAUGACGGCCUUCGGGUUGUAAACCUCUUUUAGCAGGGAAGAAGCGAAAGUGACGGUACCUGCAGAAAAAGCACCGGCUAACCACGUGCCAGCAGCCGCCGUAA